GUAUACUCAAGGACUCUGAGCACGCCUGCUCUCGUCUGAUCUGGGAAGCUAAGCAGGGUUGGGGCUGGUUAGUACUUGGAUGGGAGACCGCCUGGGAAUACCAGGUGCUGUAAGCU
ensembl:rRNA 5S_rRNA 5S ribosomal RNA